rnacentral:rRNA from 1 species
UACGUAGGGUGCGAGCGUUGUCCGGAAUUAUUGGGCGUAAAGGGCUCGUAGGCGGUUUGUCGCGUCGGGAGUGAAAACCAGGUGCUUAACACCUGGCUUGCUUUCGAUACCGGCAGACUAGAGGUAUGCAGGGGAGAACGGAAUUCCUGGUGUAGCGGUGAAAUGCGCAGAUAUCAGGAGGAACACCGGUGGCGAAGGCGGUUCUCUGGGCAGUUUUGCUGACACUGAGGCGCGACAGCGUGGGGAGCAAACAGG